rnacentral:rRNA from 2 species
CGGAGCAUGUGGUUUAAUUCGAAGCAACGCGAAGAACCUUACCAGGGCUUGACAUGCCGCUGACCGGUGCAGAGAUGCAUCUUUAUCCUUCGGGGUACAGCGGACACAGGUGGUGCAUGGUUGUCGUCAGCUCGUGUCGUGAGAUGUUGGGUUAAGUCCCGCAACGAGCGCAACCCUUGUCCUUAGUUGCCAUCAUUAAGUUGGGCACUCUAAAGAGACUGCCGAUGACAAAUCGGAGGAAGGUGGGGAUGACGUCAAAUCAUCAUGCCCUUUAUGUCCUGGGCUACACACGUGCUACAAUGGUCGGUACAACGAGAAGCAAGCCAGCGAUGGCAAGCAAAUCUCUAAAAGCCGAUCCCAGUUCGGAUUGCAGGCUGCAACUCGCCUGCAUGAAGUCGGAGUUGCUAGUAAUCGCGGAUCAGAAUGCCGCGGUGAAUGCGUUCCCGGGUCUU